GAUACUGUCAGUCUUGAGUGUGCAUGAGGUGGGCGGAAUUUGUGGUGUAGCGGUGAAAUGCUUAGAUAUCACGAGGAACUCCAAUUGCGAAGGCAGCUCACUGGGGCAUAACUGACGCUGAUGCACGAAGGUGUGGGUAUCAAACAGGAUUAGAUACCCUGGUAGUCCACACAGUAAACUAUGAAUACUCGCUGUUUGCGAUAUACAGUAAGCGGCCAAGCGAAAGCAUUAAGUAUUCCACCUGGGGAGUACGCCGGCAACGGUGAAACUCAAAGGAAUUGACGGGGGCCCGCACAAGCGGAGGAACAUGUGGUUUAAUUCGAUGAUACGCGAGGAACCUUACCUGGGCUUAAAUUGCAGAUGACAGGAGCCGAAACGCUUCUUUCUUCGGACAUCUGUGAAGGUGCUGCAUGGUUGUCGUCAGCUCGUGCCGUGAGGUGUCGGCUUAAGUGCCAUAACGAGCGCAACCCUUAUCUUUAGUUGCUAACAGGUGAUGCUGAGGACUCUAGAGAGACUGCCGUCGUAAGAUGUGAGGAAGGGAGGGAUGACGUCAAAUCAGCACGGCCCUUACGUCCAGGGCUACACACGUGUUACAAUGGGAGGCACAGAGGGCAGCUACCUAGCGAUAGGAUGCUAAUCUCAUAAAUCCUCUCUCAGUUCGGAUCGAAGUCUGCAAUUCGACUUCGUGAAGCUGGAUUCGCUAGUAAUCGCGCAUCAGCUACGGCGCGGUGAAUACGUUCCCGGGCCUUGUACACACCGCCCGUCAAG
rnacentral:rRNA from 1 species